UUGAAUUGCGUGCCGUAAUUUUUAAUUAGUCAUUUGUACCUAAGGCACAGAAUAUCACGAGUUGCUUCCCAUCUCGUUGCUUUAAUUUCUGCUGAAAUAUGUCUUGGCCUCAUUUUUGAGUGGCGGGUGGACGUGGGCAUCUGAUUCCAUCCAUAGUGGGCAUCUGAUCCCAUUUAUCUCUUUAUGGCUCGCAUGGAAUCUAAUCGUCAGCGAGCUGUGACUGAAUCGAAGGAAUUCAGUGGGGAAAUGAAACUAGUGUGCCAAGAAGAUGCUCCAUACUCAUCGGUGACGGAGGGACUUCGGGUUAGAGAGGAGAUAAUCAUCUCAUUUUUGGAAGAUUUGAAAACUCCCGAAUGUCCAA
rnacentral:lncRNA from 1 species